GUUGAACGCUGGCGGAAUGCUUUACACAUGCAAGUCGAACGGCAGCACGGACUUCGGUCUGGUGGCGAGUGGCGAACGGGUGAGUAAUGUAUCGGAACGUGCCCAGUCGUGGGGGAUAACGUAGUGAAAAUUACGCUAAUACCGCAUACGAUCUAUGGAUGAAAACGGGGGAUCGCAAGACCUCGCGCGAUUGGAGCGGCCGAUAUCAGAUUAGGUAGUUGGUGGGGUAAAGGCCCACCAAGCCAACGAUCUGUAGCUGGUCUGAGAGGACGACCAGCCACACUGGAACUGAGCCACGGUCCAGACUCCUACGGGAGGCAGCAGUGGGGAAUUUUGGACAAUGGGCGAAAGCCUGAUCCAGCCAUUCCGCGUGCAGGAUGAAGGCCCUCGGGUUGUAAACUGCUUUUGUACAGAACGAAAAUGUUUCUACUAGUACUAGGAGCUCAUGACGGUACUGUAAGAAUAAGCACCGGCUAACUACGUGCCAGCCGCCGCCGUAA
rnacentral:rRNA from 1 species